rnacentral:rRNA from 1 species
CAUGCAAGUCGAGGGGAACGAUAUUGGAAGCUUGCUUCCGAUAGGCGUCGACCGGCGCACGGGUGAGUAACGCGUAUCCAACCUGCCCACCACUUGGGGAUAACCUUGCGAAAGUAAGACUAAUACCCAAUGAUAUCUCUAGAAGACAUCUGAAAGAGAUUAAAGAUUUAUCGGUGAUGGAUGGGGAUGCGUCUGAUUAGCUUGUUGGCGGGGUAACGGCCCACCAAGGCGACGAUCAGUAGGGGUUCUGAGAGGAAGGUCCCCCACAUUGGAACUGAGACACGGUCCAAACUCCUACGGGAGGCAGCAGUGAGGAAUAUUGGUCAAUGGGCGAGAGCCUGAACCAGCCAAGUAGCGUGCAGGAUGACGGCCCUAUGGGUUGUAAACUGCUUUUAUAAGGGAAUAAAGUGAGCCUCGUGAGGCUUUUUGCAUGUACCUUAUGAAUAAGGACCGGCUAAUUCCGUGCCAGCAGCCGCGGUAAUACGGAAGGUCCGGGCGUUAUCCGGAUUUAUUGGGUUUAAAGGGAGCGUAGGCCGGAGAUUAAGCGUGUUGCGAAAUGUAGAUGCUCAACAUCUGCACUGCAGCGCGAACUGGUUUCCUUGAGUACGCACAAAGUGGGCGGAAUUCGUGGUGUAGCGGUGAAAUGCUUAGAUAUCACGAAGAACUCCGAUUGCGAAGGCAGCUCACUGGAGCGCAACUGACGCUGAAGCUCGAAAGUGCGGGUAUCGAACAGGAUUAGAUACCCUGGUAGUCCGCACGGUAAACGAUGGAUGCCCGCUGUUGGUCUGAAUAGGUCAGCGGCCAAGCGAAAGCAUUAAGCAUCCCACCUGGGGAGUACGCCGGCAACGGUGAAACUCAAAGGAAUUGACGGGGGCCCGCACAAGCGGAGGAACAUGUGGUUUAAUU